rnacentral:lncRNA from 1 species
AUGUUGAAGAACUUACUCCUUUUAACCCAGACCCGCUGUUUGAAGGUCGCGUUUGCCAUCAUCACCGCGCUACGCCUCCAGCAACAGCCUAGAGAAAGGUGUGACAAUUCCAGGAUGAAGGACACUGUCUUUCUGAGAGUUCAGCCAGAGGCUGGGAAGCAUCCGUGCUUCCUCCACGCUGUGGGAUGGAACGUCAUUGAGAUGGCCCACACCACUGAGCUGAGUGAUGGCAAAAACACACUUCCAACACCAGGUGCGUGGGAUUUUGGGCACCGCUGUGGUGAUACCUCAACGAGAUAUUUCUGUAGGAGGUGCAGCUUGUUGCCAGAGUGCAAGAAAACGUCGUCACCGACGGCCAGGAGUCAGCCCGGGAGCAGUAAAUGAGCGAGGGGCUCAGGCCCCUGGUCUAGGAGAAGAGUAAAAAAGGAGCGUGGCUGCAGCACAGGGGACACCAGUGGUCCUUGUGCUCCUGCCUGGAGCAAAAGCAAACAAGUCCCUCGCUAGCGGACCUCGCCAAAGCUCAAAGUAUAAUGCUAGAAGGAAAAAUAAGUUUUACAGAAUUGAGCAUAUACAACCCUUUUUUUUUCCCUUCAUAAACGGUACGUUACAGUAGUUGCAACUACCGAAGUGUUUACAGUAUGCUAUAUAUAUAUAAUGGCACAUUUAAGCUUUUUCAAGGGAUUGGAACAUUUCAGGAAUGUCUCUGGUGCUGAAAAAGGCUAAUGUAUUACAAAUCAUAUAAUAUUUUAAUUCAGAAAAAAUACGUUUGGGUAUUUUGCCCUAGCAUGGGAAGGGUUAGGAAACCGAAGGCGGGUGCCGUGAAGCAUGACUGACGCCUCAGUCGAGCUCGUCUGCUUCAGAUACACGUUGUGCAAGGCAUUAUCGCUGCGAUCUGUCACAAAAAAUGCAUAUUUAGUUUUGUACAUUAAAUACUACACCUGUGAGCCUAUGUAAAAGAUAUACAAAAUAUAAAUGUCAUCAGGACCGUAUAUUUCAAACUUUUUAAAAUAAACACAAAGUAUAUAUAUUUAUGUUGGCGUAU